CUGAGUAGGCUCCUCCAUCUAAACCGUUUUUUGUCUGUAUUCCCAGAGGAAUCCACAUAUUAAUGAUUUGCAAAUCAUGAUUUUUCAGUUGGAAAAGAACAGCCACUGGCUUGUGUGCCCUGCCGUGUGACUUCCAGAGGGCUGACUUCUGGUAGUUCUUCAUGCCAAGUAUCAAGACUAUGGGUGAAAGAAAGCCACCACACGUCCCUGGGACCUUGACAGCCAAUCUGGACUUGGCUGUCUUCAGAUUGUUCACCUGCAGCCAGUUCUGGGCUGAAGACCUGGGUUGCCUUCCUUCUCGCAGCCCCACGCCGCCAUGAGUUCUCCAAGUCGUUUUGUGUGUUAUUCCCAUGGGGCUGAGUCCCCCUCAUAGCCAUGCGCCUUUUGGAAACUAAGGUAACCCACAAAAGCUUUUCCAAGUGAUGGGGUGUCACCAGGUCUGCGUGAGGAAAAUGAGCUCUUGGGAGAUUCAGUGAGCUUGCUCCACGUCACAGCAGAUGACGACGGCGAGACUGAAGGUAACAGGUCUUAACACACAGUGUUAGAAAUCAGCUCACAUUUUGCCAUUUUUCCCCCUCACAAAUCAGUGAGCUACAGUUUAUUAAUAUCUUAAACGUGUUUGAAAACCGAGGGUCACAGAGGAAACAAGCUUCUCUCAAGAUAUUAAAAUUGCUAUCAGCUUUGCGAUACCACGGCAUUCCCGAUUCCUAGUUUAGUUGUCUUUCUGAAGGUAGGUUUUAAACAAGUUAUAUCUGACAAGAGGAAAGCAGCCCCCCGGAGGAUGACUGCAGCCCGGAAUCACCGCAGUGCAUGACCCCAGCAGCCCCCGAGCCCGGCUUAGAGCGAAGCGCUCAGGCUGGGCCAUGCAGCCCCGCCGCUUACACGGCAGGUCCUCCUGCGUGCGAAACGCUAAAGAGGCUCUUGGUCUGUGAAACAUAAAUUUCUGGUUUCUCUCAUGGGCUUUGCUGGCACCUCCCCACACAGCCUCUGUUAGAUUGUUCACGCGGAACCCCAGGGCACCCGGCAAGGCGAAGCCAGCCCUUCAGACCAGCCGAGAGACAGGAGCUGAGUGUGAUGUGAACAGCAGCUGACUGGCAAGGCUGACACAACAUCCUGGCUCUUGAUCCUCACAGAACAAACAAUUUGACCAACUUCCUGAAAUCCCUGCCCUGCACCACACCAGCAGAAGAAAACACUGAACUUCCAUAUUAGGCUCGGACCGCGGCUGGCCAGCUGAACUGAAGUCCUUCAUUCUUUUCCUUUUUUUUUCUUUUGAGACGGAGUUUCGCUCUUGUUGCCCAGGCUGGAGUGCAAUGGUGUGAUCUCGGCUCACCGCAACCUCCGCCUCCUGGGUUCAGGCAAUUCUCCUGCCUGAGCCUCCUGAGUAGCUGGGAUUACAAGCACGCGCCACCAUGCCCAGCUAAUUUUUUGUAUUUUUAGUAGAGAUGAGGUUUCACCAUGUUGACCAGGAUGGUCUCGAUCUGUUGACCUCGUGAUCCACCUGCCUUGGCCUCCCAAAGUGCUGGGAUUACAGGCAUAAGCCACCGUGCCCGGCCGGUCCUUCUCCGUUCUGUCUGCAAGGGUAGAACCAGGGACUGCCCGAUGUCCUGUGAUGCUAGUGAUUGAAGGUUUUAUCAUCCCACACUUAGGCACUCUAACUCAGCACCUGGGUUAAACAGGGUCACCCCGACUUCUUUUCACGCAACCCCUUCUCUGCCCAGAUUCCCAGACCUGGAGGCCUCACGCCUGGUGGUGUAUAGAAGCCAGCCUGAGCUGAUGCAGGCUCUUUUGCAAGAGCUG
ensembl:lncRNA